GGAGAGGUGCGAGAGUGGCCGAAUCGACAUGCUUGGAAAGCAUGCGUCGGGGUAACUCGACCGUGGGUUCGAAUCCCACCCUCUCCG
rfam:Nitrospira sp. SG-bin2 contig3783, whole genome shotgun sequence.